GACGAACGCUGGCGGCGUGCUUAACACAUGCAAGUCGAACGGAAAGGCCCUGCUUUUGUGGGGUGCUCGAGUGGCGAACGGGUGAGUAACACGUGAGUAACCUGCCCUUGACUUUGGGAUAACUUCAGGAAACUGGGGCUAAUACCGGAUAGGAGCUCCUGCUGCACGGUGGGGGUUGGAAAGUUUCGGCGGUUGGGGAUGGACUAGCGGCUUAUCAGCUUGUUGGUGGGGUAGGGGCUUACCAAGGUUUUGACGGGUAGCCGGCCUGAGAGGGUUGACGGCCACAUUGGGACUGCGAUACGGCCCAGACUCGUACGGGAGGCAGCGGUGGGGAAUAUUACGCAAUGGGCGGAAGCCAGAUGCAGCAACGCCGCGUGCGGGAUGACGGCCUUCGAGUUGUAAACCGCUUUCGCCUGUAACGAAGCGUGAGUGACGGUAAUGGGUAAAGAAGCACCGGCUAACUACGUG
rnacentral:rRNA from 1 species